rnacentral:rRNA from 1 species
GGUAUCUUGUUCUGUCUUCGGAUCUCCGGAUCAUUAAUUCAAUAAUCAUUGUUACAACUCGAAAAGUUCUUUAUGUUUUUCUAAUCACCCCAAUUCAACAUAAUUUCUUACUAUUUUAUUAUUCCUUAAAUAAAAUUAUAAAAUUUAUGUAAAGAUCUAUAGGGUCUUCUCGUCUAUUUAACCUAUCUCUGCUUUUUUACAGAAAUAUCAAAUUCCAAAAUUUAGUCUGAGACAGAAUUUAUUUCAUUAAAUCUUUCAUUCCAGCCUCCAAUCAAAAGGCUAUUGAUUAUGCUACCUUUGCACGGUCAAAAUACCGCGGCCCUUUAACAUUUGUCAGGGGGCAGACCUUACCUUUUAUAUAAAUCAAAAGGCA